rnacentral:lncRNA from 1 species
UUGAACUCAAGGAACUGACUAUGGCCACUCUACCCUGAUCCUAAAAAGAGUUCAGUGCUUGAUUUUAGAGCACCACAAAACUUUAAAUGUUUUUGCACAAAGUUAAAUCACAAGAUUUACGAUAUGUUUAGUUAGUUACUCGGGUUCAGUUUCACUGUCAUGAAUCGAUUUAUCACAAUCUGAUAUAAUGUCUAGCAUCCUGACUUUAAAAUAUAAUUAUGUAUUUUCGAUUCAGGUGAAAGAGGCUUGCAGGAAAUUAUCUGAAGCAGAAGAACUAGCAAAAAGUCGCCUCAUCCAAAUGAAUUAUGAUCUUAACAUUCAUUGCAGAAUCUCAGUAAGUGCUAAAUAGCAUUUCAAGCCCUUGCAAUUCAGGCAUUGCAUCUUCUCCAAGGUUAACUAAGUGUAGUUGGGUCUUAUUUUUGCACAGGUUGGAGAGCGACCAAGAGUGAGAUUUGCCAACAAUGUCGAAAAAAGAAUAUUUCAUGGGUGAAUUCCAAGGACAAUUCUGAAGUAUAAGAAUGCAUAGGGAGAAAAUCACUAGACUAGACCCUUUAUGUGAUCAUAACUAGUUACUUCAUGAUUGUGCUUGUGUCUCAGGGAUAAAAUCCAACAUCCACAAUGAAUCAUGCAUGUGUCCUUAUCAGAAUGGUCUCAGUGUAAAUGCAAAGAUGUUACUGGAGUUGCAUCAUAGAACAUGAGCUUGUAAGCAUAUUUUUAUUUAUGGAAACACAAAAUAAAACAGUGAAUCUGUGUUUUAGAUUUACCCAUUUUAUCUGGAAGAAAAGAUUGACAAUCCCUCUGUUCUUCAUCUACUGCAAGCUCAAUCCUCAGAUGCGUCCGUUCAAGACAACUAAUUUUUGUGACAGGAGGAUCCAAUAACAUCAUGUGUAUACCUGACAUCUUUACAGAAUAGUGGGAAGUGAGAGCUGUAACAAACGUUCUCUCUGUUGCUUA